AGAGUUUGAUCCUGGCUCAGGACGAACGCUGGCGGCGCGCCUAACACAUGCAAGUCGAACGAGAGAGAGGGAGCUUGCUCCCUUGAUCGAGUGGCGAACGGGUGAGUAACGCGUGAGGAACCUGCCUCAAAGAGGGGGACAACAGUUGGAAACGACUGCUAAUACCGCAUAAGCCCACGGCUCGGCAUCGAGCAGAGGGAAAAGGAGUGAUCCGCUUUGAGAUGGCCUCGCGUCCGAUUAGCUAGUUGGUGAGGUAACGGCCCACCAAGGCGACGAUCGGUAGCCGGACUGAGAGGUUGAACGGCCACAUUGGGACUGAGACACGGCCCAGACUCCUACGGGAGGCAGCAGUGGGGAAUAUUGCACAAUGGGGGAAACCCUGAUGCAGCGACGCCGCGUGGAGGAAGAAGGUCUUCGGAUUGUAAACUCCUGUUGUUGAGGAAGAUAAUGACGGUACUCAACAAGGAAGUGACGGCUAACUACGUGCCAGCAGCCGCGGUAAAACGUAGGUCACAAGCGUUGUCCGGAAUUACUGGGUGUAAAGGGAGCGCAGGCGGGAGAACAAGUUGGAAGUGAAAUCCAUGGGCUCAACCCAUGAACUGCUUUCAAAACUGUUUUUCUUGAGUAGUGCAGAGGUAGGCGGAAUUCCCGGUGUAGCGGUGGAAUGCGUAGAUAUCGGGAGGAACACCAGUGGCGAAGGCGGCCUACUGGGCACCAACUGACGCUGAGGCUCGAAAGUGUGGGUAGCAAACAGGAUUAGAUACCCUGGUAGUCCACACCGUAAACGAUGAUUACUAGGUGUUGGAGGAUUGACCCCUUCAGUGCCGCAGUUAACACAAUAAGUAAUCCACCUGGGGAGUACGACCGCAAGGUUGAAACUCAAAGGA
rnacentral:rRNA from 1 species